UGAGGCAGGAGAAUUGCUUGAACCCAGGAGGUGGAGCCUGCAGUGAGCCGAGAUCGCGCCACUGCACUCUAGCCUGGGUGACAAAGUGAGACU
rnacentral:miRNA from 10 species